rnacentral:rRNA from 1 species
UACGUAGGGUGCGAGCGUUGUCCGGAAUUAUUGGGCGUAAAGAGCUCGUAGGCGGUCUGUCGCGUCGAUCGUGAAAACUUGGGGCUUAACCCUGAGCUUGCGGUCGAUACGGGCAUGACUGGAGUUCGGCAGGGGAGACUGGAAUUCCGGGUGUAGCGGUGAAAUGCGCAGAUAUCAGGAGGAACACCGGUGGCGAAGGCGGGUCUCUGGGCCGAUACUGACGCUGAGGAGCGAAAGCGUGGGGAGCGAACAGG